CCUACGGGUGGCAGCAGUCGAGAAUCAUUCACAAUGGGGGAAACCCUGAUGGUGCGACGCCGCGUGGGGGAAUGAAGGUCUUCGGAUUGUAAACCCCUGUCAUGUGGGCGCAAAUUAAAAAGAUAGUACCACAAGAGGAAGAGACGGCUAACUCUGUGCCAGCAGCCGCGGUAAUACAGAGGUCUCAAGCGUUGUUCGGAAUCACUGGGCGUAAAGCGUGCGUAGGCUGUUUCGUAAGUCGUGUGUGAAAGGCGCGGGCUCAACCCGCGGACGGCACAUGAUACUGCGAGACUAGAGUAAGGGAGGGGGAACCGGAAUUCUCGGUGUAGCAGUGAAAUGCGUAGAUAUCGAGAGGAACACUCGUGGCGAAGGCGGGUUCCUGGACAUUAACUGACGCUGAGGCACGAAGGCCAGGGGAGCGAAAGGGAUUAGAUACCCCUGUAGUC
rnacentral:rRNA from 1 species